rnacentral:lncRNA from 1 species
UAUUAGAGAGAUUGUUGUCAGACUUUACAGCAAUUGACUUAUCCUCCAAUAGGUUUUCUGGGAGUAUUCCAGAUUCCAUAGGAAAUCUUAAGAUUCUCAAAUACUUGAAUUUGUCCAACAAUAACCUCAUAGGAAAUAUACCUUCAUCUCUUGCAAAUAUGAGUGAACUUGAAUCCUUGGACUUGUCAGAGAACAAGUUGGAUGGAGAAAUUCCAGGUGAUUUGACGAGGUUGACAUUUCUUGCGAAAUUAAACCUUUCAAUGAAUAAUCUUGUGGGGCAAAUACCACAGUCUAAGCAGUUUUCCACAUUUGAGAAUGAUUCAUACGUGGGAAACUUGGGACUGUGUGGAGUUCCGUUGACAAGAAAAUGCAAUGAAGAGAACGGGCAUCAGAUGCAGCCAGAAGAAGAAGAUGAUGACUAUUAUGGAUUUAUAGAUGGAUUCGGAUGGAGAAGUGUGGUGAUGGGAUAUGGAAUUGGAUUCAUAGUUGGGAUUGGAAUUGGUUACAUCAUUAUUAGAAAUGGAAGGCCAAGAUGGUUAGUGGAAUUAUUUUUCGGUGUUUAAUGUAAUAAUAAUAAGAAGAGGAGGCGUGUGUGGAACAUGAAUCCAGUUGAUUUAUUGGAAGCUGAUUCUGGGGAUAUUCAUCAAACAGGUGGCGAGCACAAACUUGCUUUCUAAUAGAGAUACCCAUUCAGUCCGCCACCAGUCAAGACUUUGAGUCUCCAACAAAGUUAGCAGGGAUUUGGUCUUGUUUCUGGUUUUAUUUAUGGUUUAUGACAUAGGUGUAUCAUUCAAUCAAUGCAGCUUUGAUUUUUAUUUCUAUGUGAUAUUGAAGUACUAGUACUAAAUAAUAUAUGGAAUUCUGCAUCUCAGCAUUGAUGAGUUUGAUAACUUGAUUAUGCAUUUUCAGAAGUUUAUUUUUUGUCUCCAACAUUGGUUUUUGAUGUUUUUGCUAAAGCUUGUUUUUGGUCCAGUAAUUAUUGUUAUAAGAAAAAAUAAUUAUUGAUAUAAAUAAAAGUAAUGUUUCUAGAUUAUUACAUUAGUUCCGAUAAUUGCUACUUUAAUUUAUGAGAAUUUGUACUUUUAAUUAUUUGAUCAAAUAAUUAUUGGUGUAACCAAAAGUAAUAAUUGUUGUAAUAUACAAAGUAAUUAUUUUAAUGAAGAAAUGUCAUAAACAUUACAUUUCUUCACAAUAAUUUUUGUACGUAAAAGUAAUUAUUGGUGUGAAGAAAAGUAAUGUUAUAUUCACAAGUUAAUACUUUUAUUCAUAAUUAUUUGGUCAAGUAAUUAUUAUCGUAACAAAAAGUAUUGUUAUAAUGNCAAAAAUACUACACGUGAAUCUAGUUGGAACAGAUUCUUUUAAGCCUAUGAACUGUUCGACAAAAUUCCGAAACGAAGACGACGCAGAGAAAAUACCUCAAAACAUUUAUCAUAUCAUAUGAGUUGAAACGGCCUCAAACUCAAAUUGAUUUGGGGAAAUGAUAAAACACCACAAAGGCAAAUCGUUGGUUAACUUAUAAAUCAUUUGUUUGUAUUUGUUGCUUAAUUUAUAAAUAAUGUUUUAUACAUUUUUUUCUUUUUGGCUCUUGUUUUAUGCAAAAUAUCUUACUUCUUAUUCUAUAUAAAAGUAGAAAAAAAAAUUGAGUUUGAGUUUGGACACGCACUAUGUAACUAUAUUAACAUUUAUUGAAACAAAAAAAUUAUUUAUUCAGUGGUUGAAUAUCUUGCAUUUCUGCUGUUUAUAAGGAGAUUGUAUUUUGCAGUGUUUCUAUAGCGAAUAGCGAGCUGUUGGAACUCUGUUUUGUGUAAUCAGUUAGCUAAGUAGAAGUUUUAGAAGGCUGUCUAGUUUAGUGGUUGAAUAACUUUUGUUCUGCAUUUUUUGAUGAAAUUGUUUUUAUUGGCUUUUUAAGUCAUUCCUUUUAUCAGAAAAUUACACACACACAAUCACACGACACAAGGAAAUUCAUAAGAAUAAAUGACGAAUGUUUUAAAUGUGAUGAAUUGUAGAGUGGCUGAGCAAAUUAGAUGGCUUAAGCUACUACAUACAACACGUAAAUCUUUCUUUAAAUUAAAAAGUCAAUAUCUGAAAUUUUUUAUAAAAACAUGUGGGCUGGUAUGAACUUAAAAUUGUGGUGAUAAAAAUGGGCCUGAAAAACAUAUUAUACUAUCUCCACUCAAUAUUAAGUAAGGCCCAAUCUAGAUAAGCUGAAAAAUAUUUUUUCGUAGGCCCAAAUUAAAUUAAAAUCUCUAGAAUUUAAAUUUCCAUAUUUAAGACAAAAUCUCCAAUUUUAAAGCCUUACAUCUAACUGGGGGUGCGAUUAGACAAAUUCAUAAACUAAAACAUAUAAUAAAAUUUUCAAUGACUUCAUAAUAUUUAAACUUUAAAUAACUCAAACAUAAAUAAUUUUAAAUAAAUAAAUUAGUUUCGGGCUGUCACAUACUUGAAAUGAAACGACUUUGUUUCUUAUUAAUUUAAAGGGGUUAUUGCCGGAAAAUACAUGUAGUUUGUCAAUUUUCUGGUUUAUAACAUGACCUUAUAAUUUGACCAGAAAAUACACCAAUUUUCAAUUUAAUCGCAAUUAUAACAUGACUUUGUAGCUUGACCAGAAAAUACACCAGUUUUCAAUUUAAUUGUAAUUAUAACAUGACUUUAUAAUUAAUUUAGUNNNNNNNNNNNNNNNNNNACUUAAUUUUUAUAAAAAUAAAUCAAUCAAUUAACAAUAUUUUAUACAUAACAAUUUAAUAUGAAUUUACAAUAAAUAUUAAUACAUCUAUGAUGAACAAUAAUCUAAAUAAGGUCAUGUUAUAAUUUAGAUUAAAUUAAAACUUGGUGUAUUUUCUGGUCAUACUAUAAAGUCAUGUUAUAAUUGCAAUUAAAUUGAAAAUUGGUGUAUUUUCUGGUCAAAUUAUAAGGUCAUGUUAUAAACCAAAAAAUUGACAAACUACAUGUAUUUUCCGGCAAUAACCCCUAAUUUAAAAUCCCUCUCUUACACAUGAAAUAACCUAAGUCAAAAUCCCUCUCCUGUGCUUGGAAAUUCAUUGAUGGAUUUCAGCGCCAUUCAUGAAUUCGAGGACGAGCGUGAGUUGUUGUCCAUGGACAUGGCUAUCUUAUUAUUAAAAUAUCAUGGAAAAAAAUCAGAAUUUGUGGAAAUUUUGUGUAUUUUACAGCUUAUUAUUAUUAUUAUUAUUAUUUACUCAAAAUGACUGGAAUUCAAAUUGCAACAAUUGCUCUAUUUUCAAGGGGCAAUUGUGUAGAAUUUGGUUUUAAAUUGCAAAGUGUGAAUUACCCUUUAUUAUAUCUUAUUCAAAGAUCACAAAAAGAGGAUUUAAAGUCUCCCAAAUCUAUUAACAAAAUAGAGAAUAUCUUCUGCUUUUUCACGUUAUUCUAUAGUGCUAUUUUAAUAUGAAUUUUAGGGUCAUUUUUUAUGAUUUGAGUUAGACUCAAUCUCCCAAAUCGAACAGAAAGUAGAGAGUAUUUGCAAUAUUAAAUUGAAGAUCAAAUUGGUAGACAGCUGGAAUUGUUUGAAAGUUUGAACAAAGCAAAACAUGUUUGGACGUUGACGUUGACUUGCCUUGACUUUAGCUUUCAAUAUAAAUAGUCUUUGUCUUUUUCACACUCAUCAUUAUUUUCUUCGUCUUCGUCUUCGUCUUCGUCUUUCCAGUGGGAAAAUGAUUAUUUUAGCUUUGAAUAAUGCUUCCCAUUUGUCCAUCAUAUCCACACACACACUAUAUAUACAUGUACAUGGAUUUCGUAGUUCAAUAUACUAAAAAAUUACGUCAAAAUCAAGCCAAAAAAUGGAAAAAUCUCCUCUUUUUCUCAUCCUUGCACUACUCUUACCAAUCCAUUAUUUGAUGGAUUAUAGCUCUGCCAAAAACGAUAUCAACACCGAUCGUUCUUCACUCCUUGCCUUAAAAUCUCAAAUCACUUCAGACCCUCAAAACAUAUUGACCAAAAAUUGGAGCACUGAAGCCAUUGUUUGCAGUUGGAUCGGAGUUACUUGUGAUUCACGUUACAAUAGGGUUACUCAGCUGAAUAUAUCGUACAUGGGUCUUGUCGGAACCCUCCCACCAGAAAUCGGGAAUCUUUCUUCUCUCGUCUCUUUAGAAGCGAAUCAUAACUCUUUUCAUGGCCCCAUUCCCCCAUCUAUCUUCAACAUGUCAUUUCUAGAAGUUUUGGAUCUACGGAAUAAUAGUUUGUCCAGUAGUUUGCCUCUUGAUAUGUGCAUACACAAUCUGCAUAGACUCAAGUGGCUUCGUAUAUCUUACAAUGAGAUGUAUGGGGAAAUACCAUCGAGUUUGGGGCAGUGUUCACAGCUUGAGUAUCUUUCUUUGUACAAUAACAAUUUCACUGGAUUUGUGCCCAGAGAAAUUGGGAACUUGACGAAGCUUCAAAUAUUGUACCUUGAUGUAAAUAAAUUGACUGGUAAGUUGAUUCCUAUAAUUAUGAGGUCAAAUCAUGCAUUUAAUGCCUUAUUAUUUAAUUCUUUAAUUUGUGUGCUUUGCGUUUGAGAGUCAAAUUUAAACUUUAUAUCGGGUGAUAAGUAAUAUUUUUCCCUAUACGUUUCAAUCUAGAAUUAGCUAGACUAACUUUUUGUGAUUAUUUGGAUAUUUGAAGGAAUUAUUCCACAAGAGAUUCAUCAUCUUCAUAAUUUACGAGAGUUGGACUUGAGUUUGAACAAGUUGUCAGGCACUUUGCCUUCAGAAAUUGGGAACAUGAAAGCACUACAGGAUUUAUACCUUGAAAACAAUGCUUUAAACGGUAAGAUUUCUAACUCUUGUAGAGUUUUACACAUAUUCAAAUGUUUCUUAAUUAAUUUUCAUGUAUAUUUAGCAUUUACAUCCUUUGUGAGAUCUUUAACUUCUCAAAUCUAUAUUUGACUUUUCCACACAGCAUUUACAGCUAUGUUCUUCUCAAAUCAAUAUUGUUCUUUGUCUUCCAUUGAUUAGUGGAAUAAAUAUCAUUAUACUUAAACAGUGUAUAGCUCAAUCUCCCAUCCGAUCAAAUCACGUGUUUUUACUUAUUAUUCUUAUGAUAGUUAUACUGAAGAAUAUGGAACUUGACUUUGAUGACUUCAUUAUUAUCCAGGUACUAUUCCGAAAGAGAUUGGAAAUCUGUAUAAUUUACGGUUUAUGUGGUUGUAUUCUAACAAACUUAGCGGAUCAAUCCCGAGAGAAGUGGGGAACAUGACAGCUCUGGGCAGCUUACACCUCGAGAAUAAUAGUUUAAGUGGUAUCAUUUAUUGUUUCCCUAGCCACAAGUUUAGCUCCUCAAGCUAGCUUGCGAGUUAAUUUAUGUUAUGCAUAAUUUCUCCUCUUUCCAGGUCCAAUGCCUAAAUCCUUGAUCGAUCAAAUGUCAAAGUCUAAAUAAAAAUAACAAUAACUCACUAACAUAAAAUAAAUAGUGUACAUAUCACGUAAACAUUAAAUUCUAUAUAGUAUAUGUUAUCAUACCUUGAGAUGUAUGUGUUUGAUAAAUUAGUAUGACCCCCAAAUUUCUCAAAAAUUAUAAUAAACCUUAUACAAAUAAAUAAUUUUGCGGCCUAAGAAUUUUAUCGAUGAUUAAUGGUAAUUUAUUAAUAUAUCAAUAAAUUAACAACUUUUUAGUUUAUAAAGUAUUUUCUUAAUUUCAGAAAUUACAAUAAAUCAAGUUAUAAUGAGUAAAAACAAAGAGAGUUAAUAUUUAAAUUAAAUAAAUGGAUGUAUCUAUCAAGUCAAUGUGGUUGAUAUUACAGGAGAUCCUAAUGAUGUUCAAGUUGAAGAUGAUUCAACAAUAAAUUCAAAUUAUAAGAAGUUAAAAUAGUAUUCAUAAUUGUAAUAUUUUAAUAAUAUUAUUUUAAUUAUAAUAUUAAUGGGACCUAUAUAUACAAUAAUCUGCAUCGGGUCGGAAUCCAGUCAUCGAGACAGUAAUCAAUAAUUAGAAAAUUUUGACUUUAGGAUGCAAACAUUAAAAGGUUCAUAGGUUAGGGUGAUAAGUACUCCCUCCGUCCACGAAUAAAUACUCAUAUUCUUUUUGUCCGUCGAAAUGUAUCCCACACAAUCCUUUAAUUAAUACUCUUAAAAAGUGGGAUCCUUAUUCUACUCACACUACACUCAAUACAUUGCUUAAAACUCGUGCCGUCCACAAAUGGGUACUCAUUUCGUGGAUAGAGUGAAUAAUAUUUUCCAUGUACGUUUCAAUCUAGAAUUAAACUAACUUUUUUUUGAUGAUUUUAAUAUAUAUUUGUAGGAGUUAUUCCACAAGAGAUUCGUCAUCUUGAUAAUUUACAAGAGUUGGACUUGAGUUCAAACAAGUUGUUUGGCACUUUGCCACCAACCAUUUUCAACAUGUCUUCCUUGACAUUGAUUGACUUAUCAAGUAACACACUUAGCGGGGCAUUGCCUUCAGAAAUUGGGAACAAGAAAGCAAUACUAGAGUUUUUAAACCUUCAAAACAAUUCUUUAACCGGUAAGAUUUCUAACUCUUGUAGGGUUUUACACAUAUUCAAAUGUUUCUUAAUUUUCAUGUAUAUUUAGCAUUUACCGCCAUUGUGAGACCUUUAACUUCUUCUCAAAUCUAUAUUGACUUUUCCAUAUAGCAUUUACAGGUAUGUUUCUGAAAUCUAUAUUGUUCCUUGUCUUCCAUUGAUUAGUGGAAUAAAUAUCAUUAUAGUUAAAUAGUACACAGCUCAAAAUUUCCUCAAGCUAGCUUGCAAGUUAAUUUCUUUUUUUUGGGAUUCCCACAAACUUAGUGGAGCUUUGCACGCACAAAUUUGGAAUAUUAGAACUCUUUGUCGCUCACACCUUUUUAACAUUUAUUUAACUUUUCCGCCAGGUACUAUUCCUAAAGAGAUUGGAAAUCUUCAUAAUUUGCAGGACAUGUGGUUGUAUUCCAACAAACUUAGUGGAUCAAUCCCGAGAAAAGUGGGGAACAUGACAGCUCUUGACCAGUUAGGGCUCGACAAUAAUACUUUAAGUGGUAUGAUUUAUUAUCACCUAGCCACAAGUUUAGCUCCUCAAGCUGGCUUGCGAGUUAAUUUCUUUGUCUCUUAUUUCAUUUGAUCUUCUUUAAUUAUGUUGUCUUAUUUCAUUUCGUGUUGUUAUUUUAUGUUAUGCAUAAUUUCUCCUCUUUUCAGGACCAAUGCCUAAAUCUUUGAUCGAUCAAUUGUCAAAGUCUAAAUAAAAAUAACAAUAACUCACUAACAUAAAAUAAAUAGUGUACAUAUCACGUAAACUUUAAAUUCUAUAUAUNGAUCAUAGACUCCUUCUUUAAGUAGAAAUAAUCCAUGAUUAUCUUGUUGAACUUUAAUGUCGAUCCUUUAAAGAUAAAAAGUCCAUGACAAGCUUGAAGUCUAUCCUUAAUAUGAAAGAAGUCCACAACGAAUAGAUCUUUGAGGAGAGAUUGAAUACUUCAACAAAACCUUGUGCAAAUUUGAAAAGGUAUCUUUUGAGAAUAUUCUGGUACUGACGGUAUCACAUCAGGUAGCUCUGAUGGUAUCAAUUGAUAGCAAAAUGUCUAUAGAAAUGACGACAACAUAACAGAGUAAACAAUACUCUAACAAAUAUCAUUAUACUUAAAUAGUAUACAUACAGCUCAAUCUCCCAACCGAUUGAAUCGUAUAAUUUUACUUAUUAUUGUUAUGAUCGUUAUACUUAACAAUAUGGAACUUGACUUAAUUUGAUGACUUCAUUAUUCUCCAGGUACUAUUCCGAAAGAAAUUGGAAAUCUUCAUAAUUUGAGGUGGAUGUGGUUGCAUUCUAAUAAACUUUGCGGAUCAAUUCCGAGAGAAGUGUGGAACAUGACAGCUCUGGGCAGCUUACACCUCGGCUAUAAUAGUUUAAGUGGUAUCAUUUAUUAUCAUCUAGCCACAAGUUUAGCUCCUCAAGCUAACUUGCGAGUUAAUUUCUUUUUCUCAUAUUUCAUAUGAACUUCUUUAAUUAUGUGGUAUGUUGUCUUUGGAGUUGGUAGGGGUCAUUCAUUGUGUUGUUGUUUUAUAUUAUUCAUGAUUUCUCCUCUUUUCAGGUCCAAUACCAUCUACCAUUGGAAACCUAUCACGUUUAUGGCACUUAAAUCUUGCUUCCAACAAAUUCAGUGGUGAGUUUCCAUCCUCCAUCAGCAACUUGACAUAUUCUUUGAAAUACUUAAUCUCUAGUACAUAACAGUUUGGAAGGUUUUCGAAACUUUAGCAAAUCUUUGAUGAUCUUUCGUUUAAACACAAACCAAUUUAGUGGUAUUAAAUUGCAAGGACCAUCAACAUUUACCAAUGGUAGUAAUCCUUUUCAGUCAUUUUUUUAGGGGAUCUUUUCCGGUCAAUUUAAGUGGUAAUAAAUUGCAAGCAACAUUACCUAAAUCUUUGAUCAAUUGUCAAAGUCAUAUAGUUGUGUAUUUCACAAAUUUAUAAAUGACUUUUCCAUAUAGUAUUCAUUAGGUCUAGUAAGAAAUCUGUUGAAAUUAAAUAUACUAUAUUUAGAAAUAAUGCAAUACAUUCGCCAUUAUGUUAAACAAGAUGUUGAACUUUAUGUAUACCAAUGUAAAUGUCUAGUUCAAAUUACAGACAAAAGCUUAUAUAGAUUAAAAUUGUCGAUGUUGGUAAAAUGCUUUGUGCUUUUUUAGAUAUAAAGAAAUUUGAUUCAUAUCAUUCUCUAUCUUUCCAAUAAUAUAUCUGAAGGCCUCGUACCAACUUUCAGGUCAAAUACCAUCCUCCAUUUGUAACUUGACAUCCCUUGAGUAUCUUGUUCUCUCAAACAACACUUUGGAUGGAUCAAUUCCACAAUGCUUUGGAAACUUGAGCUCUUUGGCCAUCUUUCAUUUAAAUGAAAAUCAGUUUAAUGGUCUCAUUCCAUCAACAUUUAGCAAGGGGUGUAUCUUGGUCAUAAUUUGAAUGUAAUAAAUUGCAAGGACCAUUACCUAAAUCCUUGAUCAAUUGCCGAAGUCUACAAGGCCUCGACGUUGGAAAUAAUAGAAUAAAGACGAAUUUCCCUUUUGGAUGGAACCUUCCAGACCUUCGAGUGUUGGUCAUGAGGUCUAACAUGUUUUAUGGCAACAUGUCACUUCCUUCACAAACCAAGAUUCCAUUUGCUAAUUUGCAAGUUUUAGAUAUAUCUCGGAAUAGAUUAGUGGGAUCUCUACCUCAAAGAUAUUUCAAGAAUUUUAAAGCAAUGAUAGAGGAAAAUGAGACAAUCACAUCAAAUGAAUUUGAAAAUUAUGUGGAGAUGAGGCUCACCUUGAAAGGUUUGGAUCAAUUAUUACAGAGAUUGUUGUCAGCCUUUACAACAAUUGACUUAUCCUCCAAUAGGUUUUCUGGGAGUAUUCCACAUUCCAUAGGAAAUCUUAAGAUUCUCAAAUACUUAAAUUUGUCCCACAAUAACCUCAUCGGAAAUAUACCUCCAUCUCUUGGAAAUAUGAAUGAACUUGAGUCCUUGGACUUGUCAGUGAACAAGUUGAAUGGAGAAAUUCCAAGUGAAUUGACAAGGUUGACAUUUCUUGCGAAAUUAAACCUUUCAAUGAAUAAUCUUGUGGGGCGAAUACCACAGUCUAAGCAGUUUUCCACAUUUGAGAAUGAUUCAUAUGUGGGAAACUUGGAACUGUGUGGAGUUCCGUUCACGAGAAAAUGCAACAAGGAGAAGGGACAACGGCCAGAAGAAGAAGAAGAUGAUGAUGAUGAUGAUGAGUCUGGAUUUAUAGAUGGAUUUGGUUGGAGAAGUGUGGUGAUGGGAUAUGGAAGUGGAUUCAUAGUGGGAAUUGGAAUUGGUUACAUUAUUAUUAGAAAUGGAAGGCCCAGAUGGUUAGCUGAAUUCUUUUUUGGCGUUGGAUAUAAUUAUAAGAUGAAGAAGAGAUGCAGCAAUGCUACACCAACACGCCGCAGGAGAACUUAAUUGAAGCCCAAAAGAAUUCAUUUGUUCUUCAGUUGGUGUGUUUUGGUCGAUUUGAACUUUGGAGUUUAUGAAAUAUUGUUGUAUGUUCGAAUUUGCGAAGUUUUAAUUUUAUCUUGUUUCGAUAUAUUUUUUAGAUUAAAUCAGUUUUGUGAUUUUAUUUGGUAAAUUUUUAGAUUUGUUAAAAAUGACUUAGUUUUAGUGACAUAGAACACUUGAUUGUCCACGCUAAUAAUUUUUUUAGAUCAUUCUGUUUGAGCAGAUUUUUGCACGCCUACGAACUGUUUGAUAAAAGUCCGAAAUGAAUUCUCGGAGUUGUUCAGGUUAACGCAUAAUUCGCUCACCAAAGCUAACGCAUACUUUUAACAAUUUAAAUAGAUAUUUAUUGGGAAAAUUCUUAAAUCAAAUGAUAGUAUUUAGUUAAAUAAAUAUAUAUUUACAAUUUCUUAAUUUCCUAUAACAUGCCCAACAUAUUCUACCCGAGUUGACGCUACAUUAAAUGUAAACACUUUUAGGAGCUUAUAAGCUCUUGAUGAUGUUUGACAAAAUGAGCUAUUACACAACUUAUAAGGUAACCAAGAGUAUGGUAUUCCGUGUGCGUGUGUUGCCAAGCAGUAAGAGCUUAAUGCCUAAGGCCAAAAGUCUUGGAUUCGAGUCCCUUGUGGCGCGACCUUUUAAAUUUCUUUAUUUAUAAAAAAUAAGAUUUAAGUUAUUGCACCUAAAUAAUUUUUUGAUAAAUUCAAAAAGAACUUCUUAUUUUUUAAAUCUUAUAAGCAACAUUUAUUUUAUAAAAGUUACCCUACUAUUAUUUUUUAUUUCUAUCAUAUACUCUUUCAAUUUUAUAUCCCUAACUUUGUCGAUAUUAAACUCAUCAUUUUCUGCAUCAAAAAUCACCAAAUUAUAUAUUAAAUUACAUUAAAGCACAAAAUAAUCUAAGAAUAUGAGCAACUCAAAUACACACUUUAAGUUUCAAAUUAUCUUACCCAGGAUGCCAUAUCGUAUCUCAACUUCCUCCUCUUUCUCAUAAAACAACUUUGUUUUGACUAUUCCGCCACUUACUUCUUAUUUUAUACAAGUAAACAACUUUGUUUUCUUUUAAGGGGUGCCUUUACUUUGGUGUUAAAAUUUUCAUUGGAAAAUGAUGGAUAAGAAAAGAUGAGAAAAUAUUAUUUUUUCUUCUUUUUUUAUGUUAUGUUUAUUAGAGAUGAAAAGAUGAGAGAGUAUUGGAGAGAAAAAAAUGUGAAAAUGAGCUGCCCAAGAAAAUAUUUGAUUCUGCCCGGAGAAAAUUUUACAUUAUAGUAAAUAUAUGAAAACGGUGAAAAAUAUGUGAAAAUAUAUUUUUUUUCUCUCAUUUUCCAUCAAAGUAAACGCACCCUAACAGGUAACUGUGAUUCACGUUAUAGUAGACAAACUCAUUUAAAUAUCUCGCACAUGGAACUAGAAAUCAAAAAUCAUUCUUGCAUAAUUGAGUUUGGGUCAAUGUUCACAACUUGACUUGUGCCUACACAAAUUGGCAGCAUCAUGUGUGACACACAUUUUGUCUUUUUCUUCAGCAAAGUCCAUUCAUUACUGAAGCUUCUUAAUUUCAUUUUUCAUUUGUGGGACCCAAAAAAUGCGGCUAUAUUUGUAGUAGUUUCAUUUUCACUCGCUUUUGCCUCCAAAACUCUUAUUUUCUUCUUAAUUCUUUGCCCCAUUCACACUCCAACUUAAUUAAUUAAAAAUUGAUUGGAGAAAUUCAUACAUUUUUGCCGUAGGACUUGGGAAAGAUUAUUUUUAGAUUUCAAUAUAAACAGCACAACUACAAUAUUAGCACUCUGCAUUCACAAUAUGAAGAGAGUUUCCACAUUUUUCCUACUUUCCCUACUCAUGGGGUUUUCUUGCCUUAGCCUUGCUAACACAGAUCAAAUCAAAAGUGAUGAAUCAUCACUUCUUGCCUUCAAAUCCCGCAUCACUUCAGAUCCUUCCAAUAUUUUUAAAAAUAAUUGGACCACCGGAACCUCUAUCUGCACGUGGAUGGGAGUUACUUGCGAUUCACGUUAUAGUAGGGUGACUGCUUUAGAUCUCUCGAAUAUGAGACUCGAAGGCAGCAUCCCACCAGAAAUCAUAAAUCUUUCUUUUCUUGUUUCUCUAGAUUUGAGUGUGAACUCUUUUCAUGGUCCCCUACCAAAGGAUAUUUGCAGGCACAACAACCUUCGAAGACUCAAAGAACUUUACUUGUACUCCAACAAAUUGAAGGGGGAGAUACCAUUGAGCUUGGGUGAAUGUCCACAACUUGAGAUUAUUGACUUGUCAGACAACAACUUUGGUGGACAUGUGCCUGCACAAAUUGGGAACAUCACACAGCUUAAGGAAUUACGCCUUAGUUGGAACAAUUUGACAGGUAUGGUCUUAUCUCAAUAAUGAGAAUUUAACUCGUUCGAGUUUUAAAAAAAAUUAGGCCACUAUUUUAGGGUGUGGUUUGAAAAAAUAGGCCAAUUUUUUCGAACUUGCAAAAAUAGGUCAAUUAUUUUAAAUUUUGACGUCCGUAAGCCACAUUUGAUUCUAAUCGGGCUAUUUAGGGCCAAAUAUGGCCUAUUGAUGCCGAAUUGGGGCAAAUGUGGCCAAAGAUGCUAAAAUUUAAAGUAAUUGACCUAUUUUUGCAAGUUCAAAAAAUAUUGACCUAUUUUUUUGCAAAUCGUUAUAAGAUAGUGACUGCAAAAAAUUUUAAACUCAACUGGUUUGAUCCCACUUUUCCGUUUCUAUUGGGAUUUCAUGAAAUGACUUGAUGAUAUAUGCCAUUCAGUUUCGUAUCUGACUUUACUCAAGACGUUCUAAAGUUCCAACUUUUCAAAGAAUUUUCAAAAAAUUAAUUAAGAGAAACUCCCAAGACAUUUUAGUUUACUCAGAAAAUUUGAAAACCACAUUUCCCCAACUUUUACUUGGUGAAAACAUGACUAAACAAUAAGGCUAAAAACAAGGAUUUUUACUUAUAGUUUGUCCAGAUACAUUCAAAGUGAAGUUUCUUAGCUUCGAUCUACGUACUUAAAUCUUAACCAAAUUUCAAUCAACUUCAUUCCAUACAUUCAUAAACAUAAUAGAUACAAGAUUUCAACAACUUCCUUCAAAAAUUAUGAAAUCAAGAUGCACAAAUCUUGCAAUUCUUACAUCUUCACACAUGUUUCUCAUAUCAUAUUGAAACUCAUACUUUCAUCUCCCAACCAAUCGAACCACGUAUUUCACUUAAUAUUGUUAUGAUGGUUAUACUUAACAAUAUGGAACUUGACUUUGAUGACUUCAUUAUUCUCCAGGUACUAUUCCGAAAGAGAUUGGAAAUCUUCAUAGUUUACAGAUCAUGCGUUGGGUUCCAACAAACUUAGCGGAUCAAUCCCGAGAGAAGUGUGGAACAUGACAGCUCUUAGCAGCUUACUGCUCGACAAUAAUAGUUUAAGUGGUAUGAUUUAUUGUUUCCCUAGCACAAGUUAGUUCCUCAAGCUAGCUCGUGAGUUAAUUUCUUUUUGUUGAUGUAUUUGGAUAUUUGUAGGAGUCAUUCCACAAGAGAUUCACCAUCUUCAUAAUUUACAAUGGUUGGCCUUGAGCUUGAACAAGUUGUCGGGCACUUUGCCAUCAUCAAUUUUCACAUGUCUUCCUUGACAGUGAUUCGCUUAUCAAGAACAUGUUUAGCGGGGCAUUGCCUUCAGAAAUUGGAAACAACAAGACAACAGCACUACAUGUUUUACACCUUAAAAACAAUACUUUAAGUGGUAAGAUUUCUAUCUCUUGGAGAUAUAGCAUUUACAGCUAUUGUGAGACCUUUAAGUUCUCAAAUCUAUAUUUGACUUUUCCAUAUAGCUGGUACGAGUCAUAUAUUGUGUUGUUAAUUUAUAUUAUGCAUAAUUUCUUCUCUUUUCAGGGCUAUUACCAUCUACUAUUGGAAACCUAUCAAGUUUGUACUACUUAAAUCUUGGUUCCAACAAGUUUAAUGGUGAGCAUUCAUCCUCCAUCUGCAACUUGACAUAUAUAGAGUAAAAUAGUCGAUUUUAGUAAGAUAUUGCUCUGUGCAUUUAUAUCUACUUAUCUAUUAUAUGAAUAUUUAUUUUUAUUCCAACACAGUUACAUAAACAUAUCAAAUAAAAUUAGUGGCAUGUCAUCAUCAUACUUAAUAAUUACAUAUAGCUCAAUCUCCUAACUAAAUCAUGCAUUUUACUUAGUAAUGUUAUUUUACUUAGUAAUUUAUUAUUCGGACACAAGUUUAGUAGUAACAUGUUGACUUGUAGUUGGUAGCUAGGAGUCAUACAUUGUGUUGUUAUUUUAUGUCAUGCAUAUUUUAUCCUCCUUUCAGGUCCAAUACCAUCUACCAUUGGAAACCUAUCAAAUUUGUACUACUUGAAUCUUGGUUCUAACAAAUUUCAUGGUGAGCUUUCAUCUUCCAUCUGCAGCAUGACAUUCCUUGAAAUACUUUUACUCUCUAGUAUAUAAUAGUUUUGAAGAAUCAAUUGCACAAGGUUUUCGAAACUUUAGCAAACUUUGAAUUUCAUUUAAACAAACCAGUUUAGUUGCCUCAUUCCAUCAACAUUUACCUAAAGAAUUUUAUGUGGUAAUAAAUUGCAAGGACCAUUACCUAAAUCCUUGAUCAAUUGCAAAAGUCUACAAGCAAUUUUAUUGGAUAGAUAUAUUUAUUUAUAAGCCCUAUCAAAUAGCUAUAAAUAUAUAUCAAAUAGAUUUAGUGUAAUAUUUAAUGAAUUAAUAUAUUUUUAUAAAUAUAUAAUAUUUUAUUUAUAAAAUUACCCUUAAAAUAAAAUAUGUAAUAAGAAUAUAAUAUGCAAUCUAUAUUUUAUGCCCAAAACACUUUUUAUAUUAGUAUAGAUAAAGAAAUUUGAUUUUUAUCCUUUUAUGUCUUUCAAAUAGUAUGUUUGUUACCAACUUUCAGGUCAAUUACCAUCUACCAUUGUGAAUAUUCUACCAUUGAAUUUUCUGCAACUCUCUUCCAACAAAUUAAUCGGAGAGAUUCCACUCUCCCUCUGUAACAUGACAUCCCUUCGGUAUCUUCUUCUCUCAACAAACAAUUUGGAAGGAAUAAUUCCACAAUGCUUUGGAAACUUCAGCUAUUUGGCCAUCUUUCAUUUAAAUGAAAAUAAGUUUAGUGGUCUCCUUCCAUCAACAUUUAGCGAGAGGUGUAGUCUUGUUUCCAUCAAUUUGAAUGGUAAUAAAUUGCAAGGACGAUUACCUAAAUCCUUGAUCAAUUGCGAAAGCCUACAAGCACUCGACAUCGGAAAUAAUAGAAUACAAGAUGAAUUUCCUCUCUGGAUGGAUGUCCUUCCAGACCUUCGAGUGUUGGUCUUGAAGUCUAACAAGUUUUAUGGGAACAUAUCACUUCCUUCACAAACCAAGAUUUCAUUUCCUAAUUUGCUAAGUUUUAGAUAUAUCUCGGAAUAGAUUCGUGGGUUCUUUGCCUCAAAUAUAUUUCAAGAAUUUCAGAGCAAUGAAAGAGGAAAAUGAGAAAAUCACAUCAAAUGAGAUUGAAAAUUAUGUGGAGAUGAGGCUCACCUUGAAAGGUCUGGAUCAAUUAUUACGGAGAUUGUUGUCGGACUUUACAACAAUUGACUUAUCCUCCAAUAGGUUUUCUGGGAGUAUUCCAAAUUCCAUAGGAAAUCUUAAAUUUCUCAAAUACUUGAAUUUGUCCCACAAUAACCUCAUAGGAAAUAUACCUUCGUCACUUGGAAAUAUGAAUGAACUUGAAUCCUUGGACUUGUCAGUGAACAAGUUGAAUGGAGAAAUCCCAAGUGAAUUGACUAGGUUGACAUUUCUUUCAACAUUAAACCUUUCAAUGAAUAAUCUUGUUGGACAAAUACCACAAUCUACUCAGUUUUCCACAUUUGAGAAUGAUUCAUAUAUGGGAAACGGGGGAUUGUGUGGACUUCCAUUGACCAAACAAUGCAAUGAGGAGAAUGGGCAGCAGAUGCAGCUAGAAGAAGAUGAUGAUGAUGAAGAUGAUAAGUAUGGAUUUAUAGAUGGGUUUGGAUGGAGAAGUGUGGUGAUGGGAUAUGGAAGUGGAUUCAUAGUUGGGAUUGGAAUUGGUUACAUUAUUAUUAGAAAUGGAAGGCCAAGAUGGUUAGUGGAAUUCUUUUUUGGAGUUGGAUAUAAUUAUAAGAUGGAGCUGAGACGUAGCAGAGCUACACCAACACCAACAACACGCGGGAGAACUUAAUUGAAGCCCAAAUCAAUUGUGUGCUUUACUUGUGCCGAUUUGUGUUUUCUUUUAUCUUUUUUACGUUUUGAAUUGCUACUUAGUGUGUUUUUCUCGAUUUCAACUUUAGAGUUUAUGAAAUGUUGUUGUAUAUUCGAAUGUGUUAAGUUUUAGUUUCAUCUCGUUCUCAUUUUGAUCUAGUUGACAACUAGAUCAUUGUGUUGGAACUCUCUUUUAACAUAAAACCGGUGUCUUUUAAGUGAUGUGUAUAAGAGAUUUUGCUGUAGCGGUAAAAGAAGUUUAAUCGGGUUUUUGGAGAGCUUCUAUUCAGGUAUAAAAUAAUACUUCAUCCGUCCACAAAAAAUAAUCAUAGAAGGAGAUGACACGGGUUUUAAUAAAAAUAGUUGAGUGUAUUAAUUGUAAAUGGAGAAAAGGUCCUACUUCAUUACCUUAAAUUUUCACAUUUUUUUGCCACUCUCAAUAUUUUCAAUAAUUUUUUCUCCACUCUCAAUAUAUUCAACAACUUUAUUUCUCCACUCUCUAUAGAAUCUAACUACUUAACUAGAUAAAUAAAAAUAAUAAUAACAAUGACUCACUAACAUAAAAUAAACAAGGUACAUAUCACGUAAACUUUAAGUUCUAUAUAUAUGUUAUCAUACUAUAGUUAUAAUAAACCUUAUACAAAUAAAUAAUUUUGGGACCUAAGAAUUUUAUCGAUGAUCAAUCGUAAUUUAUUAAUGUAUCGAUAAAUUAACAACUUUUUAGUUUAUAAAGUAUUUUCUUGAUUUCAGAAAUUAUGAUUAAAUCAAGUUAUAAUGAGUAAAAAUAAAGAGAGACAAUAUUUAAAUUAAAUAAAUAGAUGUAUCUAUCAAGUUAUUGUGGUUGAUAUUACGGGAGAUCAUAAUGAUGAUCAAGCUGAAGAUGAUUCAACCACAAAUUCAAAUUGUAUAAAGAUAAAAUAGUAUUCAUAAUUGUAAUAUUUUAAUAAUAUUAAUGGGGCCUAUAUAUGCAAUAAUAUUGUGCAUCGGGCCGGAAUCCAGUCAUCGAGACAUUAAUCAAUAAGAAAAUUUUGACUUUAGGACGCAAAACAUUAAAAGGAUCAUAGGUUUGGGUGAUAAGUAAUAUUUUCCAUAUAUGUUUAAAUCUACCAUUAAACUAACUUUUUGUGAAGUUUUGGAUAUUUGUAGGAAUUAUUCCACAAGAGAUACAUCAUCUUGAUAAUUUAGGAGCUAGUGUUGGACUUGAGUUUGAACAAGUUGUCAGGCACUUUGCCACCAACCAUUUUCAACAUGUCUUCCUUGAUUGAUAUGGAUUGACUUAUCAAGUAACACACUUAGCGGGGCAUUGCCUUCGGAAAUUGGGAACAUGAAAGUAGCACUAGCGUUUUUAAACCUUCAAAACAAUGCUUUCACUCUUAUAGAGUUUUACACAUAUUCAAAUGUUUCUUAAUUUUUAUGUAUAUAUUGGAUUUACAGCCAUUGUGAGACCUAUGUACUUCUUCUCAAACCUAUAUUUGACUUUUCCAUAUAGCAUUUACAACUAUGUUCUUCUCAAAUCUAUAUUGUUCUUUGACUUUCAUUGAUUACUGGAAUAAAUAUCAUUAUACUUAAAAUAGUAUACAGCUCAAUCUCCCAACCAAUCGAAUCACGUAUUUUACUUAUUAUUCUAAUGAUCGUUAUACUAAACAAUAUGAAACUUGACUGAUGACUUCAUUAUUCUCCAGGUACUAUUCCGAGUGAAAUUGGGAACAUGGAAGCACUACAAUUUUUAUACCUUGGAAACAAUGGUUUAACCGGUAAGAUUUCUUAUUGUUGUAGGGUUUUAAACCUAUUCAACAUGUUUAUUUCCAAUUGGAACCAUUUUCAGCACGCUUGUCUCCUUAUCCAAAAAGCAUAUAUAAUUACGGAGCUCGGUGAACUUUUUUGUACGAUUUAUUGUUCUUUGUCUUCCAUUGAUUAGUGGAAUAUACUCCCUCCGUCCACCAAUUGAUAUCCUAUUUUCCUUUUUGGUCCGUGCACUAAUUUAUGUUCUACCCAUUUAUAGUAACUCUUUAUAAUUUUUUAAUUGGUGGGUUCCAAUAAACAAUACAAUUUUUCUCCACUCAACUAAUAAACAAUACACUUUGUGGGUCCCUUUGUCCACGCAACUAAUAAAUAAUAUAUUUUGUGGGUCCCUUUCUCCACUCACUACACUUUUUCUUAAAACCCGUAUUUCCUCCCCUACGUCAUAAAUUAGUGGACGGAGAGAAUAUAUCAUUAUACUUAAUACUAUACAGCUCAAUCUCCCAACCCAUUACUAGUUGUGUUUUUCACAAAAUGUCUAGUUUAAAUAACAGACAAAUGUUGGUAAAAUGCUUUGUGCAUUUUUAGAUAUAAAGAAAUUUGAUUCAUAUCCUUCUCUAUCUUUCAAAUAAUAUAUUUGAAGGUCUUGUACUAACUUUCAGGUCAAAUACCAUCAACCAUUGGGAAUAUUCUACCAUUGAUUGUUCUACAACUCUAUUCCAACAAAUUAAUCGGUGAGCUUUCAUCCUCCAUCUAUAACUUGACAUCUCUUGAUGCUCUUGUUCUCUCAAAUAUCACCUUGGAAGGAACAAUUCCACGAUGCUUUGGAAACUUGAACUCUUUGACCAUCUUUCAUUUAAAUGAAAAUCAGUUUAGUGGUCUCAUUCCAUCAACAUUUAGAGAGGUGUGUAAUUUUGUGUCCAUCAAUUUGAAUGGUAAUAAAUUGCAAGGAACAUUACCUAAAUCCCUGAUCAAUUGCGGAAGUCUACGAAGCCUCGACGUUGGAAAUAAUAGAAUACAAGAUGAAUUUCCCUUCUGGAUGGAAGUCCUUCCACAGCUUGAAGUGUUGGUCUUGAGGUCUAACAAGUUUUACGGUAACAUGUCACUUCGGGCUAAUUGCCGCUAAAUCCAUGUACUUUUUCAAUUUUUGAUUUUUUCUCAUGGCAAAAAAAAAUCUACUUUAAAAUCCAUGAAUUGCAAAAUUGAUUGGAAAUUUCCCCCGCAUCCGAUUUCCGGCCAUCAGCGAAAUGAGUCAGAUCCUAUGUGGCGAAAUUCAUUCCGGGUGUUAAGUUUAAUGAAUGACAUGGACGCCACAUAAGAUUUUAAAAACUGAAAAAAAUUAUAGGAAAUCUUAAGAUUCUCAAAUACUUGAAUUUAUCCCAGAAUAACCUCAUUGGAAAUAUACCUUCAUCUCUUGCAAAUAUGAGUGAACUAGAAUCUUUGGACUUGUCAGUGAACAAGUUGGAUGGAGAAAUUCCAAGUGAAUUGACAGGGUUGACAUUUCUU